CCAGAAGAGACCCUAACCGGUCCUCUCAACCCUGCCCAUCGUGCCCUUUGUGUUGUUCCCUCGGCGAGGCUUUUCAAGCCCGCCGGCGGGAAGAUCAACGAAACUCUUUGCAAGCAAGCAUCCUGAAACCUCUGAUCGAAUACAAAUUGUCA
rnacentral:misc_RNA from 1 species